rnacentral:rRNA from 1 species
CCUACGGGAGGCUGCAGUGGGGAAUAUUGGACAAUGGGCGCAAGCCUGAUCCAGCCAUGCCGCGUGAGUGAUGAAGGCCUUAGGGUUGUAAAGCUCUUUUGUCCGGGAAGAUAAUGACUGUACCGGAAGAAUAAGCCCCGGCUAACUUCGUGCCAGCAGCCGCGGUAAUACGAAGGGGGCUAGCGUUGCUCGGAAUCACUGGGCGUAAAGGGCGCGUAGGCGGACUCUUAAGUCGGGGGUGAAAGCCCAGGGCUCAACCCUGGAAUUGCCUUCGAUACUGAGAGUCUUGAGUUCGGAAGAGGUUGGUGGAACUGCGAGUGUAGAGGUGAAAUUCGUAGAUAUUCGCAAGAACACCAGUGGCGAAGGCGGCCAACUGGUCCGAUACUGACGCUGAGGCGCGAAAGCGUGGGGAGCAAACAGGAUUAGAUACCCGAGUAGUC